rnacentral:rRNA from 1 species
UUGAAGAGUUUGAUCAUGGCUCAGAUUGAACGCUGGCGCAGGCCUAACACAUGCAAGUCGAGCGGAAACGAGUUAUCUGACCCUUCGGGGAACGAUAGCGGCGUCGAGCGGCGGACGGGUGAGUAAUGCCUGGGAAUAUGCCUUGAUGUGGGGGAUAACCAUUGGAAAACGAUGGCUAAUACCGCAUAAUGCCUUCGGGCCAAAGAGGGGGAUCUUCGGACCUCUCGCGUCAAGAUUAGCCCAGGUGGGAUUAGCUAGUUGGUGAGGUAAUGGCUCACCAAGGCGACGAUCCCUAGCUGGUCUGAGAGGAUGAUCAGCCACACUGGAACUGAGACACGGUCCAGACUCCUACGGGAGGCAGCAGUGGGGAAUAUUGCACAAUGGGCGCAAGCCUGAUGCAGCCAUGCCGCGUGUGUGAAGAAGGCCUUCGGGUUGUAAAGCACUUUCAGUCGUGAGGAAGGGGUAUGCGUUAAUAGUGUAUAUCUUUGACGUUAGCGACAGAAGAAGCACCGGCUAACUCCGUGCCAGCAGCCGCGGUAAUACGGAGGGUGCGAGCGUUAAUCGGAAUUACUGGGCGUAAAGCGCAUGCAGGUGGUUCGUUAAGUCAGAUGUGAAAGCCCGGGGCUCAACCUCGGAACUGCAUUUGAAACUGGCGGACUAGAGUACUGUAGAGGGGGGUAGAAUUUCAGGUGUAGCGGUGAAAUGCGUAGAGAUCUGAAGGAAUACCGGUGGCGAAGGCGGCCCCCUGGACAGAUACUGACACUCAGAUGCGAAAGCGUGGGGAGCAAACAGGAUUAGAUACCCUGGUAGUCCACGCCGUAAACGAUGUCUACUUGGAGGUUGUUCCCUUGAGGAGUGGCUUUCGGAGCUAACGCGUUAAGUAGACCGCCUGGGGAGUACGGUCGCAAGAUUAAAACUCAAAUGAAUUGACGGGGGGCCCGCACAAGCGGUGGAGCAUGUGGUUUAAUUCGAUGCAACGCGAAGAACCUUACCUACUCUUGACAUCCAGAGAAGCCGGAAGAGAUUCUGGUGUGCCUUCGGGAGCUCUGAGACAGGUGCUGCAUGGCUGUCGUCAGCUCGUGUUGUGAAAUGUUGGGUUAAGUCCCGCAACGAGCGCAACCCUUAUCCUUGUUUGCCAGCGAGUAAUGUCGGGAACUCCAGGGAGACUGCCGGUGAUAAACCGGAGGAAGGUGGGGACGACGUCAAGUCAUCAUGGCCCUUACGAGUAGGGCUACACACGUGCUACAAUGGCGCAUACAGAGGGCGGCCAACCAGCGAUGGUGAGCGAAUCCCAAAAAGUGCGUCGUAGUCCGGAUUGGAGUCUGCAACUCGACUCCAUGAAGUCGGAAUCGCUAGUAAUCGUAGAUCAGAAUGCUACGGUGAAUACGUUCCCGGGCCUUGUACACACCGCCCGUCACACCAUGGGAGUGGGCUGCAAAAGAAGUGGGUAGUUUAACCUUCGGGAGGACGCUCACCACUUUGUGGUUCAUGACUGGGGUGAAGUCGUAACAAGGUAGCGCUAGGGGAACCUGGCGCUGGAUCACCUCCUU